GACGAACUGUGCAAACGUUAUUCGGAAUCACUGGGCUUAAAGGGUGCGUAGGCGGUCUGUUAAGUAGGGUGUGAAAGCCUCUGGCUCAACCAGAGAAUUGCGCCCUAAACUGUCAGGCCUGAGUGAGGUAGGGGUGUGUGGAACUUCCAGUGGAGCGGUGAAAUGUGUUGAUAUUGGAAGGAACGCCGGUGGCGAAAGCGACACACUGGACCUUGUCUGACGCUGAGGCACGAAAGCCAGGGGAGCAAACGGG
rnacentral:rRNA from 1 species